rnacentral:rRNA from 1 species
AGUGAACGCUGGCGGUAGGCCUAACACAUGCAAGUCGAACGGCAGCACAGUAAGAGCUUGCUCUUACGGGUGGCGAGUGGCGGACGGGUGAGGAAUACAUCGGAAUCUACUUUUUCGUGGGGGAUAACGUAGGGAAACUUACGCUAAUACCGCAUACGACCUACGGGUGAAAGCAGGGGAUCUUCGGACCUUGCGCGAUUGAAUGAGCCGAUGUCGGAUUAGCUAGUUGGCGGGGUAAAGGCCCACCAAGGCGACGAUCCGUAGCUGGUCUGAGAGGAUGAUCAGCCACACUGGAACUGAGACGCGGUCCAGACUCCUACGGGAGGCAGCAGUGGGGAAUAUUGGACAAUGGGCGCAAGCCUGAUCCAGCCAUACCGCGUGGGUGAAGAAGGCCUUCGGGUUGUAAAGCCCUUUUGUUGGGAAAGAAAAGCAGCAGGUUAAGACCCCGCUGUUCUGACGGUACCCAAAGAAUAAGCACCGGCUAACUUCGU